UCUCCCUCAAAGGCUGCUUGCUGUAGUAGCAGCUUUCUUCCUGCACAAUUGCUGGCUGCUUCAGAUGGAGUGGAGGAGCUUUGUCAUCGCAUCGCUGCUCUUGUUCCUUGCUCAGAGGAAACAAUGGCUGCAUUGCCCAACUAAGCCAAACCAAGGGGUGAAGUCAAGCGAAGAUGAGGAUGACAUGACAGCAGUUAGAAAGGAACUGAGCAAAGGAUACUCCAACUGCCAAAUUAACUGCUGCGCUGAGUGCAAGGGGCAGAGGGGAAGCAUCACAAGGAGCUUGAGAAUUCCACCCACGAGGCUACUGCACAGAUUGUGAAUAUACGAUGGAUCAUGACAAAGAUAAUCCCAUUUGUAAGACUGAACAUCCCAUACCUGUGGGGGGUGGGGGGAAGCAGGGAGCAAGGCAUCUAACCUGCUUGAAAAUGGUUGGUGGUGGUAGCAGCAGCAAGGACUUAAGGGGAGUAAUCGGAGUGUGCAAAGUUUUAACUAGAAGAGUUUUGCACCUUGAUUUCUCCACAGUAUUGUUAAUAUCCUAAUGUUCUCUAUUAUAUAUUUUGACAAGUUUGUUUCUGCAAAAUUAAGCAAAACCUCCUAAUUACCUACAGAUAACAAAUUUUGCAUACACAAUCCUGCCACUUAAAUUAGCUGAAAGCUCUAAUUUUUAUACCAGAAUAUGCUGGGUGAAAGGUUUUAAUAACUUUUUAAAAAUUAAUUUAUUUUUAAAAAUAAAUGUAUGUAUGUAUGUUUAUUUAUUUAACAUAUUUUUAUACCUCCCAAAAUUCACAUCUCUGGGUGGUUUAUAACAAAGCAAGCAAGCAAACACCAAACAAAAACAGUAGAAAUGAUGACUAAUAAUCAUAUUCUAACUGUUAUUGUUCUCAACAGACUUUUAACACUCACUAAUCAGAUCAAUAAUUCAAAAACCACAUCAUGCCCAAAAGAAGCAGAAGGUAUUUCUCAGAAUCAAAUUUUCUAUGAUUCAAAUUUACUAUGCGUGGUAAAUUUUUCAAUAAAAUGAUAAUGUUUGAAGUUGAAAUCCUACAAAUUUAAAAAUGUUCUUUUACUUUCCUUUUCCAAGCAGAUUGAUAAUAAUUUUGAUGACAUAUGUUUAAUUUCUUGAACUUUUCUCGAAGUCUAAUCUACGCAGAAUGACUUUGCUUGAUCAACAGUGGGCCUCUGUAGUAUCCAAUAAAACAUGCAUCACACUAUAGAAUCUAAAGCAUAAAUGCUUAUGUAAACAAUUUGUAAAACAAAAGAUAGACAACAUAGUAAAAUCACAGGACACUUGAAAAUGAAACAGUAAAAGUCCAAUCAAACGUUUUUCAGCCUUCAAUUGUCUCUCUCAGUGGCACAGUACUCUGUUUCCACAGAUUUCCAAUACAAAGCAUCAGAAACAGGCUCGAAAUCUUUCAUUACUAGAAAUUUAAAUAACAUACCAUUUGAAUGUGUUCUUAUGUUUUGUUAUGGAUAGAUUAGGUCUUUCCAUUACCUUCAUCAUAACACUUCUGGCAAUACUUGUGACUCCAGGUCGAUCAAUUUCUGUCAGAAACUGAACAGGAUCCAUGGUAGCUGCAUUACGUUUGAAUAAUAUAGAAGGAGCAACAAAAGAAUAUCCCUGUUUUUAAAAGGAGAUAAAAUAAAUGUAAAAGGUAGAAGUGACAGGUACAAAAUUUUAGUCAGUGAGCCAGUUUCAGUGAUUAGGGUAUUCAUUGCAAGCAGAAAAAAUGAUCAGCACAAAGAAGAGCAAGAAUCAAUUUAUUCAAGAAGUUGCAACAUUAUAUUGUCACAAUAAAAUAAGUUUGCCUGAAAGAAGUUAUACCACCUUCUGGGGUGUGUGUGUGUGUGUGUGUGUGUGUAUGUGUGUGUGUGUGUGUGUGUGUGUGUGUGUGUAUAUAUAUAUAUAUAUAUAUAUAUAUAUAUAUAUAUAUAUAUAUAUAUAUAUAACUUACAUUUAUAUACCGCUCUAUAGCUGGAGCUCUCUAAGCGGUUUACAAUGAUUUAGCAUAUUGCCCCCAACAUUCUGGGUACUCAUUUUACCGACCUCGGAAGGAUGGAAGGCUGAGUCAACCUUGAGCCCCUGGUCAGGAUCGAACUUGUAACCUUCUGGUCACAGGGCGGCAGUUUUACCACUGCGCCACCAGGGGCUCAUAUAUAUAUAACAUCAUAUAUAAAACCAUCAUAUAUAUAUAUAUAUGAUGGUUUUAAAAUGCUAUAAAAACUGACUCACAGCUUCAAUUCUUUUUGACUGGUGACAAAGGUUCAAACUAGCUAGCUUCUCAAAACAUCUAUAGUUGGCAUCAAACAAGUCUAUAUUAUAAUAGGGCAGAUCAAGAUUUAACGCAAGUCAAAAACUACAGGCCAAUCUCACUUUUAAAUAAUGAUUAUAAACUUUUUGCUGCCAUUUUGGCAAGAAGAAUGAAGGCUAUAUUAAGACUCUUUAUUCAUGAGGAUCAAGCUGGCUUCUUGCCAAAGAGACAAUUAAGAGAUAAUGUGAGAACAGUUUUGAAUGUAUUGGAGUAUAUGAAAAACACAAUGACAAACAGAUGGCUAUGAUUUCUCUGGACGCAGAGAAAGCUUUUGAUAAUCUUUCCUGGCAGUUCAUGUGGAGGUUAUUAGAUGCAAUGGGUGUUGGUAAUAAUUUUACUAGGGCUAUCAAGACAAUCUAUUCAGAGCAACAUGCUAAGAUUAUUGUAAAUGGGGAAUUAUCAGACAAUUGUAAAAUACAAAAAGGAACUAGACAAGGAUGUCCACUUUCCCCAUUACUUUUUAUAUUAGUAUUAUAAGUGCUCUGUAGAAAUAUUAUAGAAGAUGAUCAAAUACAAGGCCCGAAAAUAGGGAAACAUGAGUAUAAACUAAGAGCCUUUGCGGAUGAUGUCACUUUUUUUUAGAAAAUCCAUUAGACAAGAUCGGAAGACUCUUGGAAAAAAUACAACAAUUUGGCCAAUUGGCUGGGUUUUAUAUAAACAAGACUAAAAUGAAGGUGUUGACUAAAAAUAUGGAUCAGAAAUCUAAGGAUAGAUUUUUUGAAAUAAGUGAACUGAAAGUGGAGAAGAAAAUUAAAUAUCUGGGUGUUUGGCUGACAAAUAAUAAUUCUUUGUUGUUCUCAAAUAAUUAUAUUAAAAUAUGGAAUACAGUAAAAACUGACUUACAAAGAUGCUCUAAUAUGAACUUAUCUUUAAUGGGAAGAAUUUCAGUGGUGAAAAUGAAUUUCUUACCAAAAUGUUGUUUCUUUUUCAGACUAUUCCUAUAAUUAAUACUUUAACUUGUUUUAAGCAAUGGCAGAAGGACAUAAGUAAAUUUGUUUGGCAAGGGAAAAGACCAAGAAUUGAUUUUAAAAAUUUAACAGACGCAAAAGAAAGAGGUGGUCUUACCCUACCAGACUUAAGGUUGUAUUUUGAUGCUGAUUGUUUGAUGUGGUUAAAAGAAUGGAUAACAUUAAGAAAUUCUAGAAUACUUGAUCUGGAGGGAUUUGACAGAAGGUUCGGAUGGCACUCCUAUUUGUGGUAUGACAAAAGUAAAGUACAUAAAGGUUUUCUUAACCACUAUAUAAGAAGGAGUUUAAUGAGAGUUUGGGUAAAAUAUAAAAAAUGGUUGGAACCUAAAACUCCGUUAUGGUUAUCCCCGAUUGAAGCUCUAGUACGUAAAGAGGUAAAUAUGCAAUCGCAAUGGGGUACCUAUAGGGAUUUGUUAUGUUUUCAAGAAAAGGACUGUAAGUUAAAAAGUUUAAUUGAAGUACAAAAUUUGGUUAGUACUUGGUUUCAGUACCAUCAGUUAAAUGAAGUUUAUAAGAAGGAUCUUAAAGUUGGAUUUGAGGAUCAGAUGUCGAGAUUUGAGAAGGAGCUGUGUGAAAAUGAUGAAAAACUAGUUUCUAAAAUGUAUAAGCUCUUGCUUUUGGAGGAGACAAGAGAUGAAGUGGUUGAAACGACUAUGGUAAAAUGAGCUCAAGAUGUGGGGUAUAAUAUAGAAAUGCAGCCUGGGAAAAAUUAUGGAAAACGGAUUUAAAGUUCACUGCAUGUUAUGUUUUAAAAGAAAAUUAUUAUAAAAUGAUGUAUAGGUGGUAUUUGACACCUAAAAAACUGGCAUUAAUGUAUAAAAAUGUUUCAAACAAAUGUUGGAAAUGUGGACACUCUGAAGGAACUUUUUUUCACAUGUGGUGGUCUUGUAGGAAGGCUAAGGCCUUUUGGGACAUGAUAUAUAAUGAGUUAAAAAAAUUUUCAAAAUGACAUUUCCUAAGAAGCCAGAAUCCUUCCUGCUAGGAAUAACGCAAGGAGUGUUUUCUACAACCAACUUAACAUUCUUUAUGUACGCUACCACAGCGGCCAGAAUAAUAUAUGCGCAGAAAUGGAAGAGUAAUGAACUGCCCUCAAAAGAAGAUUGGCUGAUAAAAAUUUUGGAAUAUGCGGAGAUGGCAAAACUUACAGUACUGAUAAGAGACCAAAAUUUGGAAUGCUUUAAAGAAGAUUGGAAACCAUUUUUAUUAUACUUAAAGAACUAUUUUCCUAAUAUUGAUUUUACAACAGGGUUUGAAAUUUAGUAAUAUUAGCAGGUUGGGUAGAUCCAAAUCGAGUUUGUAAGGUGUAAGAUAUAUGUUUUGAAUUACUAUUAUAGCAAGGGUUAAUUCUAUAGUUGGUGAUUCACGAGGAGGUGUGAGCGGGAAGUCAAUAUUUGUUUAAUGUGAUGUGAAUGUUAAGAUAUUGUUAAAAUCAAUAAAAAUUUAAACAAUAUUAUAAUAGGGCAAAUAUUAAAGAGAUUUUUUUAACUGCUAAAAAGAAGUGUGAUAUACUAAAAUGUCAGAGCAAUUACCUUGA